UUACACAUGCAAGUCGAACGGCAGCAUGAUCUAGCUUGCUAGAUUGAUGGCGAGUGGCGAACGGGUGAGUAAUACAUCGGAACGUGCCCUGUAGUGGGGGAUAUACAAGUCGAAAGAUUAGCUAAUACCGCAUACGACCUGAGGGUGAAAGUGGGGGACCGCAAGGCCUCAUGCUAUAGGAGCGGCCGAUGUCUGAUUAGCUAGUUGGUGGGGUAAAGGCCCACCAAGGCGACGAUCAGUAGCUGGUCUGAGAGGACGAUCAGCCACACUGGGACUGAGACACGGCCCAGACUCCUACGGGAGGCAGCAGUGGGGAAUUUUGGACAAUGGGCGAAAGCCUGAUCCAGCAAUGCCGCGUGUGUGAAGAAGGCCUUCGGGUUGUAAAGCACUUUUGUCCGGAAAGAAAUGGCUCUGGUUAAUACCUGGGGUCGAUGACGGUACCGGAAGAAUAAGGACCGGCUAACUACGUGCCAGCAGCCGCGGUAAUACGUAGGGUCCAAGCGUUAAUCGGAAUUACUGGGCGUAAAGCGUGCGCAGGCGGUUGUGCAAGACCGAUGUGAAAUCCCCGAGCUUAACUUGGGAAUUGCAUUGGUGACUGCACGGCUAGAGUGUGUCAGAGGGGGGUAGAAUUCCACGUGUAGCAGUGAAAUGCGUAGAGAUGUGGAGGAAUACCGAUGGCGAAGGCAGCCCCCUGGGAUAACACUGACGCUCAUGCACGAAAGCGUGGGGAGCAAACAGGAUUAGAUACCCUGGUAGUCCACGCCCUAAACGAUGUCAACUAGUUGUUGGGGAUUCAUUUCCUUAGUAACGUAGCUAACGCGUGAAGUUGACCGCCUGGGGAGUACGGUCGCAAGAUUAAAACUCAAAGGAAUUGACGGGGACCCGCACAAGCGGUGGAUGAUGUGGAUUAAUUCGAUGCAACGCGAAAAACCUUACCUACCCUUGACAUGCCACUAACGAAGCAGAGAUGCAUUAGGUGCUCGAAAGAGAAAGUGGACACAGGUGCUGCAUGGCUGUCGUCAGCUCGUGUCGUGAGAUGUUGGGUUAAGUCCCGCAACGAGCGCAACCCUUGUCUCUAGUUGCUACGAAAGGGCACUCUAGAGAGACUGCCGGUGACAAACCGGAGGAAGGUGGGGAUGACGUCAAGUCCUCAUGGCCCUUAUGGGUAGGGCUUCACACGUCAUACAAUGGUGCAUACAGAGGGUUGCCAAGCCGCGAGGUGGAGCUAAUCCCAGAAAAUGCAUCGUAGUCCGGAUCGUAGUCUGCAACUCGACUACGUGAAGCUGGAAUCGCUAGUAAUCGCGGAUCAGCAU
rnacentral:rRNA from 1 species